rnacentral:ncRNA from 2 species
AAAGAUAUUGGGGACUGUGAAAAAUUCUCUUUAUUUGGGCGCCUGGAGAAUUUUGAGUUUGUGGUGCAACCGACCAAUUUAAAU